rnacentral:lncRNA from 1 species
GGGUACGUACAAGGACAUUAAUGCCACGUCAGGGCCCGUGUCAAGGAAGGGUUGCGAAGUCGGGGUGGCCCUCCCCUAACACGGGGCCCCGCCCCUCCUCUGCAGCCUGGGUCCUCCUUCUCUCUCCUCCUUCCCUCUCUUGGCAGAGAACUGGUGGAGCCGCCCCAGGCCCCAGCUUCUCUCCUGUCACCUUCCACGUUGCCCUCAGGCCACUGUCACCGGUGUUGCCCAAUGGCUUGUCCUCCUUUGGGGUUGAAGGGGAGACACAGCUGGUUUCCUGGGUGACUCAGGAGGCAGUUUGAAAGGCUGGCAGUGCAGGGAAUUGGGGGUUAGCAGCAAACCUGCCCCUGGGCCAGCAGGAGCCGCUGCUGGGAAGAGGGAACCUCCCCGCAGCUCCUGAGCUCUUGGGGAGGACGGGGGCGCAGCCAAGUCUCCAAGAGCGCUCACUGCUGCAGAUGUUUCCCAGCUGCCUCUCAUUUCCGCAGGGCACUGAAGAGGAAAUGGGCCUCAGCUGCCGCAGGAGGGUCUCCCUUCAAAAGGGGGAGGCCCUGCUCUCCCAGAGACAGACCAGGAGGGGCCCCUCGGGACAGGAGGAUUCCGCUCUGGAGAGAACGGUGGGGGUGGGCAGGGGGAGUCCAGUGCCUAGCCGGCCAGUGCAGAGGUGAGGUUGUGUCUGUGCAGCCGCCAGACCAGCGUGGGGUCCUGCAGGGUGCAGGGGGACGGCUGGGAUGUUUCGUUGGGUGGCUUUGACGGAUCCCUUUGGGGUUAUCGUGUGUCCCAGGGCUUUGUGUGUCCCAAGGGGACACAGUGGGGUUGGAUGGCAGAAAAAAUGGCCUUGAUGCUGCUAGGGGUCGGCCCUGGCCUAAGAGGGACUUGGUCUCCUUCUGUGUCCCCUGCUCCACAUCACACCUUGAGCGUUCUGCACCUCGCCUCAGCUGGCAGAGCUAACCACGAAAGACCCCCACACGCCCCGCACGCCCCGCUGAAUUGACAAACGUGCGAGGGAGGGCCGUCACAGAGGAAGGGCUGUCUUUGCAACAAACAGAGCUGGAGCAGGGGACAUCUGUGGGCAUGAAACAAAAAUAGGAAAAUCUCAGCUGACACCUCACCCCUCCAGAUGCACUCCACGCUGGAACCGCCACCAAACCACAGAACUCUCAGGCAAUCAGUGGGAGGAAGUCCUCUGGACCUGGGACUGUCACCACUGAGGGUCCCAGGAGGUCUCUUCAGGGGCAGAGGAGACUUCCACUGGGUCCUUCCAGGCUCUUGACACACCACAGAGAAGAAUUUAAGGACACAUCAGGAUCUUGGUUAGGAAAUGAAGGUGAAGAUCCGCCCUCUUGAGUGGAAUAGGGGCUCUCGAGCGGGGGGAGCACCCCCAGGGCUCAAGGCCCCAAUUCUGACGAGGGAACACAGUUAGGUGGCAUAUGUGGGCUCCGGAGAGGCGGACUUCCCGGAGGGCUGGGAGAUACCAUGUUCCCCAUCGGGGUCUCGUCUAGCCGGGAGGUUUGCGCUCAAUGGACAUCCCCUGCUAUCGGGUGGGUGAGGGGUGACUGGGCCAGGGGUCGGGGUCCCACCAGGGGCUCUUCUGUUGGAUCUCUUCCUGCUUUUCUGCAUUCUAGCAGGCUCACCGGGC